GUCCACGCCGUAAACGAUGUCUACUAGCCGUUGGGUCCUUGAGGCCUUAGUGGCGCAGCUAACGCACUAAGUAGACCGCCUGGGGAGUACGGUCGCAAGAUUAAAACUCAAAUGAAUUGACGGGGCCCGCACAAGCGGUGGAGCAUGUGGUUUAAUUCGACGCAACGCGAAGAACCUUACCAGGUCUUGACAUCCAAUGAACUUUCCAGAGAUGGAUUGGUGCCUUCGGGAACAUUGAGACAGGUGCUGCAUGGCUGUCGU
rnacentral:rRNA from 1 species